rnacentral:tRNA from 1 species
UGUAGCUCAGCUGGCAGAGCGCCUGACUGUUAAUCAGGAAGUCGCUGGUUCGAAUCCAGCCGCCCCAGUUCCA